rnacentral:rRNA from 1 species
CCUACGGGUGGCUGCAGUGGGGAAUAUUGCGCAAUGGGCGAAAGCCUGACGCAGCGACGCCGCGUGAGGGAUGAAGGUCUUCGGAUCGUAAACCUCUGUCAGCAGGGAAGAACGGUCACUGUGCUAAUCAGCAGUGAAUUGACGGUACCUGCAAAGGAAGGACCGGCUAACUCCGUGCCAGCAGCCGCGGUAAUACGGAGGGUGCGAGCGUUAAUCGGAAUUACUGGGCGUAAAGCGCGCGUAGGCGGUAUGUCAAGUCAAGGGUGAAAUGCCCGCGCUCAACGUGGGAACUGCCUUUGAUACUGGCUAACUGGAGUGUGUCAGAGGAUAGUGGAAUUCCAGGUGUAGGGGUGAAAUGCGUAGAUAUCUGGAGGAACAUCAGUGGCGAAGGCGACUAUCUGGCACAUAACUGACGCUGAGGCGCGAAAGCGUGGGUAGCAAACAGGAUUAGAUACCCGGGUAGUC